GAGUGGCGGACGGGUGAGUAAUGUCUGGGAAACUGCCUGAUGGAGGGGGAUAACUACUGGAAACGGUAGCUAAUACCGCAUAACGUCGCAAGACCAAAGAGGGGGACCUUCGGGCCUCUUGCCAUCGGAUGUGCCCAGAUGGGAUUAGCUAGUAGGUGGGGUAACGGCUCACCUAGGCGACGAUCCCUAGCUGGUCUGAGAGGAUGACCAGCCACACUGGAACUGAGACACGGUCCAGACUCCUACGGGAGGCAGCAGUGGGGAAUAUUGCACAAUGGGCGCAAGCCUGAUGCAGCCAUGCCGCGUGUAUGAAGAAGGCCUUCGGGUUGUAAAGUACUUUCAGCGGGGAGGAAGGGAGUAAAGUUAAUACCUUUGCUCAUUGACGUUACCCGCAGAAGAAGCACCGGCUAACUCCGUGCCAGCAGCCGCGGUAAUACGGAGGGUGCAAGCGUUAAUCGGAAUUACUGGGCGUAAAGCGCACGCAGGCGGUUUGUUAAGUCAGAUGUGAAAUCCCCGGGCUCAACCUGGGAACUGCAUCUGAUACUGGCAAGCUUGAGUCUCGUAGAGGGGGGUAGAAUUCCAGGUGUAGCGGUGAAAUGCGUAGAGAUCUGGAGGAAUACCGGUGGCGAAGGCGGCCCCCUGGACGAAGACGGACGCUCAGGUGCGAAAGCGUGGGGAGCAAACAGGAUUAGAU
rnacentral:rRNA from 1 species